GAUGAACGCUGGCGGCGUGCCUAAUACAUGCAAGUCGAGCGAACAGACGAGGAGCUUGCUCCUCUGACGUUAGCGGCGGACGGGUGAGUAACACGUGGAUAACCUACCUAUAAGACUGGGAUAACUUCGGGAAACCGGAGCUAAUACCGGAUAAUAUAUUGAACCGCAUGGUUCAAUAGUGAAAGACGGUUUUGCUGUCACUUAUAGAUGGAUCCGCGCCGCAUUAGCUAGUUGGUAAGGUAACGGCUUACCAAGGCAACGAUGCGUAGCCGACCUGAGAGGGUGAUCGGCCACACUGGAACGGAGACACGGUCCAGACUCCGACGGGAGGCAGCAGCAGGGAAUCUUCCGCAAUGGGCGAAAGCCUGACGGAGCAACGCCGCGUGAGUGAUGAAGGUCUUCGGAUCGUAAAACUCUGUUAUUAGGGAAGAACAAAUGUGUAAGUAACUAUGCACGUCUUGACGGUACCUAAUCAGAAAGCCACGGCUAACUACGUG
rnacentral:rRNA from 1 species